GGUCAAGCGAAUAAGCGCACACGGUGGAUGCCUUGGCGGUCAGAGGCGAUGAAGGACGUGGCAGCCUGCGAAAAGUAUCGGGGAGCUGGCAACAAGCUUUGAUCCGGUAAUGUCCGAAUGGGGAAACCCACCCGCUUGCGGGUAUCCUGCAGUGAAUACAUAGCUGCUGGAAGCGAACCUGGUGAACUGAAAUAUCUAAGUAACCAGAGGAAAAGAAAUCAACCGAGAUUCCGUAAGUAGCGACGAGCGAACGCGGACUAGCCCUUAAGCUGGAUUGGUUCUAGGAAAACGCUCUGGAAAGAGCGGCCAUAGAAGGUGAUAGCCCUGUAUCUGAAAGGGCCAUUCCAGUGAAGACGAGUAGGGCGGGGCACGUGAAACCCUGUCUGAACAUGGGGGGACCAUCCUCCAAGGCUAAAUACUACUGACCGACCGAUAGUGAACCAGUACCGUGAGGGAAAGGCGAAAAGAACCCCGGAGAGGGGAGUGAAAUAGAACCUGAAACCGUGUGCGUACAAGCAGUAGGAGCUCCGCAAGGAGUGACUGCGUACCUUUUGUAUAAUGGGUCAGCGACUUACUGUUCGUGGCAAGCUUAACCGUAUAGGGGAGGCGAAGGGAAACCGAGUCUGAUAAGGGCAUAGUCGCGGGCAGUAGACCCGAAACCGGGUGAUCUAGUCAUGCCCAGGGUGAAGGUGCGGUAACACGCACUGGAGGCCCGAACCCACUCCCGUUGCAAAGGUAGGGGAUGAGGUGUGAUUAGGAGUGAAAAGCUAAUCGAACCCGGAGAUAGCUGGUUCUCCUCGAAAGCUAUUUAGGUAGCGCCUCAUAUGUAUCCUCUCGGGGGUAGAGCACUGUUAUGGCUAGGGGGUCAUCGCGACUUACCAAACCAUUGCAAACUCCGAAUACCGAGACGGACUGUAUGGGAGACACACGGCGGGUGCUAACGUCCGUCGUGAAAAGGGAAACAACCCAGACCCACAGCUAAGGUCCCAAAUUUUGUGCUAAGUGGAAAACCAUGUGGAAAGGCACAGACAGCCAGGAGGUUGGCUUAGAAGCAGCCACCCUUUAAAGAAAGCGUAAUAGCUCACUGGUCGAGUCGGUCUGCGGGGAAGAUUUAACGGGGCUAAGCACAGAACCGAAGCUUGGGGUGCAUACUUUGUAUGCGCGGUAGAGGAGCGUUCCGUAAGCCGUUGAAGGUGGAUUGAGAAGUCUGCUGGAGGUAUCGGAAGUGCGAAUGCUGACAUGAGUAACGAUAAUGCGGGUGAAAAACCCGCACGCCGAAAGCCCAAGGUUUCCUUGCGCAACGUUAAUCGGCGCAGGGUGAGUCGGCCCCUAAGGCGAGGACGAAAGUCGUAGUCGAUGGGAAGCAGGUUAAUAUUCCUGCACCUCGCGUAAGUGCGAUGGAGGGACGGAGAAGGUUAGGUGUACCAGGCGUUGGUUGUCCUGGGGAAAGGCGGUAGGUUUGGAUCUUUGGCAAAUCCGGGAUCCUCUAAGACCGAGCACCGAGACGAGCCUUUAUGGCGAAGUCACUGAUACCACGCUUCCAGGAAAAGCUCCUAAGCUUCAGCUUACGCAGACCGUACCGUAAACCGACACAGGUGGGUAGGAUGAGAAUUCUCAGGCGCUUGAGAGAACUCGGGUGAAGGAACUAGGCAACAUGGCACCGUAACUUCGGGAGAAGGUGCACCCUUUUUGGUGGCUCGUGCGAGCUAUAGCUGAAGAGGGUCGCAGUAACCAGGCCGCUGCGACUGUUUAUCAAAAACAGCACUCUGCAAACACGAAAGUGGACGUAUAGGGUGUGACGCCUGCCCGGUGCUGGAAGGUUAAUUGAUGGGGUCAGCCGCAAGGCGAAGCUCUUGAUCGAAGCCCCAGUAAACGGCGGCCGUAACUAUAACGGUCCUAAGGUAGCGAAAUUCCUUGUCGGGUAAGUUCCGACCUGCACGAAUGGCGUAACGACAGCGGCGCUGUCUCCACCCGAGACUCAGUGAAAUUGAAAUCGCUGUGAAGAUGCAGCGUUCCCGUGGCAAGACGGAAAGACCCCGUGAACCUUUACUAUAGCUUUACACUGAACGUUGAGUUCGUCUGUGUAGGAUAGGUGGGAGGCUAUGAAACUGUGGCGCCAGCUGCAGUGGAGCCAUCCUUGAAAUACCACCCUGUCGUGCUUGACGUUCUAACCUGGGCCCAUUAUCUGGGUCGGGGACCGUGUAUGGUGGGUAGUUUGACUGGGGCGGUCUCCUCCUAAAGAGUAACGGAGGAGCUCGAAGGUACGCUCAGCGCGGUCGGACAUCGCGCACUGUGUGCAAAGGCAUAAGCGUGCUUGACUGCAAGAUCGACGGAUCAAGCAGGUAGGAAACUAGGACUUAGUGAUCCGGUGGUUCUGUAUGGAAGGGCCAUCGCUCAACGGAUAAAAGGUACUCCGGGGAUAACAGGCUGAUACCGCCCAAGAGUUCAUAUCGACGGCGGUGUUUGGCACCUCGAUGUCGGCUCAUCACAUCCUGGGGCUGUAGUCGGUCCCAAGGGUAUGGCUGUUCGCCAUUUAAAGUGGUACGCGAGCUGGGUUCAGAACGUCGUGAGACAGUUCGGUCCCUAUCUGCCAUGGGCGUUGGAGAUUUGAGAGGGGCUGCUCCUAGUACGAGAGGACCGGAGUGGACGAACCUCUGGUGUUCCGGUUGUCACGCCAGUGGCAUUGCCGGGUAGCUAUGUUCGGAAGCGAUAACCGCUGAAAGCAUCUAAGCGGGAAGCGCGCCUCAAGAUGAGAUCUCCCGGGGCACAAGCCCCCUGAAGGAACCAUGUAGACUACGUGGUUGAUAGGUCAGGUGUGUAAGUACAGCAAUGUAUUGAGCUAACUGAUACUAAUGAUCCGUGCGGCUUGACCAU
rnacentral:rRNA from 1 species